AGAUGCAGAGCAGUGUUCCAAGUGGGUGCAAGGGAGCUGGAAGGAAGGGGCAUGCCCCAAGAAGGUGUGGAGCCUUGGGGGGAGCAGGUCGCUCACAUCCAGGAGGAGCUGGGCGAGGUGUGUGGCAGACCUCGGCGUGGGGAGCCGUAGCCCGGCAGUUGGGACGGGAGAGCGGAGCAGGCAUUGCAGGAAGUUUUGGAGAGGAG